rnacentral:rRNA from 1 species
UAGUGGCGAACGGGUGAGUAACGCGUGGGAAACCUGCCCUUUUGUGGGGGAUAACAGGCCUAACGGCCUGCUAAUACCGCAUACGUCCCCGGGGUCGCAUGGCCCUGGGAAGAAAGGUGGCCUCUCCUUGGAAGCUGCCGCAGAAGGAUGGUCCCGCGUCCCAUUAGCUUGUUGGUGGGGUAAUGGCCUACCAAGGCGACGAUGGGUAGCCGGCCUGAGAGGGUGUCCGGCCACACUGGGACUGAGAUACGGCCCAGACUCCUACGGGAGGCAGCAGUCGAGAAGCUUCGGCAAUGGGCGAAAGCCUGACCGAGCGACGCCGCGUGAGCGAUGAAGGUCCUAUGGAUUGUAAAGCUCUGUCAGAUUGGGAAGAAAACUUCGCGGCGAAUAACCGCGAAGCUUGACGGUACCAUCAGAGGAAGCACCGGCUAACUCCGUGCCAGCAGCCGCGGUAAUACGGAGGGUGCAAGCGUUGUUCGGAUUCACUGGGUAUAAAGGGUGUGCAGGCGGCCUGGUAAGUCAGGGGUGAAAUAUGACGGCUCAACCGUCAAACCGCCUCUGAAACUGCCUGGCUUGAGUCCGGGAGAGGAAGGUGGAAUUCCUGGUGUAGCGGUGAAAUGCGUAAAUAUCAGGAGGAACACCGGUGGCGAAGGCGGCCUUCUGGCCCGGUACUGACGCUCAGACACGAAAGCUAGGGGAGCGAACAGGAUUAGAUACCCUGGUAGUCCUAGCCGUAAACGAUGGGCACUAGGUGUUGGAGGAGUCUACCCCUUCAGUGCCGCAGCUAAUGCAUUAAGUGCCCCACCUGGGGAGUACGAUCGCAAGGUUUAAACUCAAAGGAAUUGACGGGGGCCCGCACAAGCGGUGGAGCAUGUGGUUUAAUUCGAUGCAACGCGAAGAACCUUACCUGGGCUUGACAUGCAGGGGACAGGUGCAGAAAUGGACCCUUCUUCGGACCCCUGUGCAGGUGCUG